AUUGAACGCUGGCGGCAGGCCUAACACAUGCAAGUCGAGCGGAUGAAGGGAGCUUGCUCCUGGAUUCAGCGGCGGACGGGUGAGUAAUGCCUAGGAAUCUGCCUGGUAGUGGGGGAUAACGUCCGGAAACGGGCGCUAAUACCGCAUACGUCCUGAGGGAGAAAGUGGGGGAUCUUCGGACCUCACGCUAUCAGAUGAGCCUAGGUCGGAUUAGCUAGUUGGUGGGGUAAAGGCCUACCAAGGCGACGAUCCGUAACUGGUCUGAGAGGAUGAUCAGUCACACUGGAACUGAGACACGGUCCAGACUCCUACGGGAGGCAGCAGUGGGGAAACUUGGCCGAUGGGCGCGCGCCUGCUCCCGCCAUGCCGCGUGUGUGAAGAAGGUCUUCGGAUUGUAAAGCACUUUAAGUUGGGAGGAAGGGCAGUAAGUUAAUACCUUGCUGUUUUGACGUUACCAUCAGAAUAAGCACCGGCUCCCUUCGUG
rnacentral:rRNA from 1 species